rnacentral:misc_RNA from 1 species
GAUGAAGAACGUAGCGAAAUGCGAUACGUAAUGUGAAUUGCAGAAUUCAGUGAAUCAUCGAGUCUUUGAACGCACAUUGCGCCCCCUGGUAUUCCGGGGGGCAUGCCUGUCCGAGCGUCAUUGCUGCCCUCAAGCACGGCUUGUGUGUUGGGCCUCCGUCCUCCUCCCGGGGGACGGGCCCGAAAGGCAGCGGCGGCACCGCGUCCGGUCCUCGAGCGUAUGGGGCUUCGUCACCCGCUCUUGUAGGCCCGGCCGGCGCUUGCCGACACAUCAAUCUUUUUUCCAGGUUGGCCUCGGAUCAGGUAGGGAUACCCGCUGAACUUAAGCAUAUCAAUAAGCGGAGGA